rfam:Dipodomys ordii contig_70646, whole genome shotgun sequence.
CCAAAGGCUCUUUUAAGAGCCACUCACUUAUUUUUUGAAAGAUCU